CCUACGGGAGGCAGCAGUCGGGAAUAUUGCGCAAUGGAGGAAACUCUGACGCAGUGACGCCGCGUAUAGGAAGAAGGUUUUCGGAUUGUAAACUAUUGUCUGUAGGGAAGCUAAAAGACUGUACCUAAGGCGGAAGCGCCUGCUAACUAUGUGCCAGCAGCCGCGGUAAUACAUAGGGGGCAAGCGUUAUCCGGAAUUAUUGGGUGUAAAGGGUGCGUAGACGGAAGAACAAGUUGGUUGUGAAAUCCCUCGGCUCAACUGAGGAACUGCAACCAAAACUAUUCUCCUUGAGUGUCGGGGAGGAAAGUGGAAUUCCUAGUGUAGCGGUGAAAUGCGUAGAGAAUAGGGGGAACAUCAGAGGCGAAGGCGACUUUCUGGACGAUAACUGACGUUGAGGCACGAAAGUGUGGGGAGCAAACAGGAUUAGAUACCCUUGUAGUU
rnacentral:rRNA from 1 species